GUCUAUGGCCAUACCACCCUGAAUGCACCCGAUCUCGUCUGAUCUCUGAAGCUAAGCAGGGUUGGGCCUGGUUAGGACUUGGAUGGGAGACCGCCUGGGAAUACCGGGUGCUGUAGGCU
rnacentral:rRNA from 1 species